rnacentral:rRNA from 1 species
GACCAGGGUGGACGUUCCUACGGUGCACCAGUUGUCACGCCAGUGGCAUAGCUGGAUAGCUGAGAACGGACCGGAUAAACGCUGAAGGCAUCUAAGCGUGAAACCGACUCCAAGAUUAGAUUUCCCAUCAUUUCAAAUGAAUAAGACCCCUUGAAGACGACGAGGUUGAUAGGUCAGAGAUGUAAGUGUAGCGAUACAUUCAGUUGACUGAUACUAAUAGGUCGAAGAUUUAUUCAC